CCUGCAGCUGCGGCAUCGCGGCGGAGGGCUCGCGCGUUCCGACCGCCGCUGAGGCAGCGCGUGGGCGCGCGACCAACGGCCGUAACGGUCGUUCCGGUUAUUCAAACAGCGCUCGGCCGCCGGAGCGUUUGCGCCUUCCGGCUAUAGAGGGAUCUCCGCAGAGAGGGACGGAGGGUCGUCGCCUCAUCCUCGAGCCUGAGGGGCAGAGGGUAGACCAAGCUCAGCUCUAACUGUAAACAUACUGUACAGGGUACCAAAGGAACAAAGCCUGGCUAACUGAAGGCUAUGAUCACUGAGGCUCAAGUCACAGUACAUUUCAGUAGAAGCCAAUGCCGGGAUUUUACUGAAGCUGGUAAGGAGAAGAGGUCUCAUAAGAUUUACCUAACUCAUGCAGUGGGACAUGGAGCUGCUGCUGUGAAAUUCAAAGAACUUGAAGGUAUCAAAACAGACAGAUGGCUACCAGUGGGUUUAGUAUUUGAUAUCAAGCACAGUUCUGAUGAAUUCUGAUGAGUGACUUGGGAAGUGCCAGAUGAUGGAAGAUGAAUAUCAGAUAGCCUGAAUAAAAGAACACAAGAACUUCAUUAUGCUGUUUUCUGAAAUACAGGAAGCAAGAGGUUAAAGGAGGAUGGAGAAACAAAUAGGAAGAAUGCUCAGCGUUUACUACUUAUGAAGCAGUAUCAUGUUGUGGUAAUUCAGGCAUUUGUCUAAUAAGUCUCUAGAAAUAACCUCCGAACAAUUCAGAUAGCAGCAGCCAUUACAGGCUGUUCACAAGCUGCUGAUAUAACUGUGGAGACACGUCUAGUAAAAGUCACCUGGGAUCAAACUAAAAUGAGUGACGGUGGAGCUGCUUCCAUAUCACAUCUUCUUCCAGUACAGAACUUUUCAGCAUAUUGCACACAACAUCCAUUUGUUACUGGAGGUCUCACGUUCUCAAUUCUGAAGCUGUUGUUUAUACUGAAAGGCGAUAGUGCACAUCAGAAAAAGUCUGGUCUUCUUCAGCAUUCAAAAUAAGGUACUGAAUGGUAUUUCAUGUAUGUUUAGUAUAUUGCAUGAGCUACAUUGUUUGACAGCUAAAGUAUCAAGAUGAAAAUAUAGUAAUAUCUGCCUGGAUCAUCUUUAAAUUUAAAUGUCACUUAU
ensembl:lncRNA